rnacentral:lncRNA from 1 species
GAUGACUAAGAGCUGUGAGGAACAGAGUCCCAGGAGGGGAGGCAGACAGGACUGAGAACGGGGAUGACCCCAUAGCAAUCGCCCAGGACC